GUGGGGAAUCUUGGACAAUGGGCGAAAGCCUGAUCCAGCCAUGCCGCGUGUGUGAAGAAGGUCUUCGGAUUGUAAAGCACUUUAAGUUGGGAGGAAGGGCAGUAAGUUAAUACCUUGCUGUUUUGACGUUACCGACAGAAUAAGCACCGGCUAACUUCGUGCCAGCAGCCGCGGUAAUACGAAGGGUGCACGCGUUAAUCGGAAUUACUGGGCGUAAAGCGCGCGUAGGUGGUUUUGUAAGUUGGAGGUGAAAUCCCCGGGCUCAACCUGGGAACUGCCUCCAAAACUGAAUGACUAGAGUACGGUAGAGGGUAGUGGAAUUUCCUGUGUAGCGGUGAAAUGCGUAGAUAUAGGAAGGAACACCAGUGGCGAAGGCGACUACCUGGACUGAUACUGACACUGAGGUGCGAAAGCGUGGGGAGCAAACAGGAUUAGAAACCCGGGUAGUCC
rnacentral:rRNA from 1 species